rnacentral:rRNA from 1 species
CCCUUAGAUGUUCUGGGCCGCACGCGUGCUACACUGAGUGGAUCAGCGGGUCAGGUUGCGCGAAAGCGUUUCCUAAUCUUUAAAUCCGCUCGUGAUGGGGAUUGACGGUUGCAAUUUUCUGUCAUGAACGAGGACUACCUUGUAAGCGCGGGUCAUCAUCCCGCGCUGAAUACGUCCCUGCCCUUUGUACACACCGCCCGUCGCUCCUACCGAUUGAGUGGUCCGGUGAGGCUUUGGGAUCUGAGCGGAAAGAGCGUUUCGCUGUUUCUGCUCGGAAAACUCAGUCGAACCUUAUCAUUUAGAGGAAGGAGAAGUCGUAACA